rnacentral:rRNA from 1 species
AUUGAACGCUGGCGGCAUGCCUUACACAUGCAAGUCGAAUGGUAACAGGUCUUCGGAUGCUAACGAGUGGCGAACGGGUGAGUAAUACAUCGGAACGUGCCCGAUCGUGGGGGAUAACGAAGCGAAAGCUUUGCUAAUACCGCAUACGAUCUACGGAUGAAAGCAGGGGACCGCAAGGCCUUGCGCGAACGGAGCGGCCGAUGGCAGAUUAGGUAGUUGGUGGGAUAAAAGCUUACCAAGCCGACGAUCUGUAGCUGGUCUGAGAGGACGACCAGCCACACUGGGACUGAGACACGGCCCAGACUCCUACGGGAGGCAGCAGUGGGGAAUUUUGGACAAUGGGCGAAAGCCUGAUCCAGUCAUGCCGCGUGCAGGAUGAAGGCCUUCGGGUUGUAAACUGCUUUUGUACGGAACGAAAAGACUCUGGUUAAUACCUGGGGUCCAUGACGGUACCGUAAGAAUAAGCACCGGCUAACUACGUG